GUGAAUACAUAUUUGUAUCUGAGAUAUGGAAAAUAAAGACACCAGGAGUGAUUUGAAAUUGCUCUUUCUGGUUCCUUUGUGGAGGAGUUAAGACCUGUCUAUGGCAUCCAAGAAGAAACAGGAUAUGGAUUGGCAAUUAAGCCACCAGCUGGAUUGCUCAGAUAAUGCCACAGUUAGGUGGAGCCUUAGAGGUCAUCUAACUUUAUUUAGUACAUAUUACUUAUUCUUUAACAUUUCCAUCAUUUCUUUAUUACACAAAUAACACACAGUCGUUAUUGAAACCAGAAAAAAGAAAUAAUUUGAAAAGAUGACAAAACCAAUGUUACAUUGGAGAAUACAUUCUUUUAGACAUUUUCCCAUGCAUAUGUAGUGUUAGCCAUCAGAAUGUAUUAGUUUUCUAUUGCUGCUGUAACAAGUUACUGCAAACUUAACAGCUUAAAACAACACAAAUCUGUUAUAUUACAGUUCUAUAGGUUAAAAGUUUAACACAGGUUUAACAGGGCUAAAGCUGGGGUGUUUGGCAGGCUGUGUUCCUCCUCUUUAGGUUGGGAAGAAUCUGCUUCCUUGCCUUUUUCCAGCUUCUAGAGGCCAUCCACAUUCCUUGGUUCACGGCCCCUUCCUCUAUCUUGAAAGCCAGUAGUGCAGCAUCUCUCUGACCAUUCUUCCCUCAUCACAUCUCUCCUUGACCACAGCUGGGAAAAUCUCUCCCUGAUUUUAAGAACCCAUAUGAUUAGACUGGGCCCACAUGUAUAACAUAGGACCCUAUCUCAAUGUUGUAACUUAAUCAUAUCUGCAAAAUCCCUUUUGCCAUGUAAGGUAACAUAGUCUCAAAUUCUGAGAAUUAGGAUGUGGACAUGUUUAGGGCUAUUAUUUUGCCUAUCACACAUAGAGAUGAAACAACUCAUGUUCGUGCAGGAUACGUGACUUACCCAAGAUCACAGGCUGGUAAAUAUUGGAUCUAUUAGUUAAACUUUUUCAGCGAGUCUGAUGCAAUUAGAUUCUCUGGUGGAAAUUCCAUGAUCUUGAUCUCUCAAAAGCAGGCAUUGGCACAGGAGGUGCCUGUCUGUUUCUGCUGCCACUCUUGACAUCUCUCAGAUGACCCCUUCUGGCUCCUUUCAAUUUCCUUCUUUUGCUGUUUGGCUUGGCUUCUGCUGUCUCCUGCUUCCACCGGCUGCCUCCUUUCCAUGAGUCUCUCGGUUUCUGGAUCCUAUUGCCACUUGCAUUUCUCUCUGUGUCAUUUUCAAGUUCCCUAAAAGAAAAUAUCUGAUAUAGUUCAUUGUUCACUGCAGGGCACUAGGCAACCCUUAUCGUGUAGAGAUUCCCACUGUGUUAUCUCCCUGGCUGCCAGCCAGUUUGCUGAUGGCUGUCUUCAAAGACAACUGCCAUUUCCUGGUUUCAUCAGCCAGGAUCAUAGGGUCAAACGUGACAAUCUGCACGUACGAAAUCACUCAUGGUCACCUCCCUCAGCAUAGCACCACGGGCAGGGUAGGCACAGAGAGACUUUUCUCCGAAUCCUGGACUGGAAUUUUCUUCCUGGCUCACCCCUGCAUAUACUGAAGCUGAGCCAUAUCGGGGUACCACAGCUAGAAUGAUGUAGCUGAAUGAAUGAGCGUGAGAAGGGGCCAAAGGGGAGGAAGACAUCAGUCCCGAGAACCAAGACUGAAUAUGGGCAUUUGGAAAACAGUUUAGGUAAUUGCAUUCAGUACUUCAAGGCUCUAAUUGCUGUUCUUUAACAAGGAGGCCACAUUGGCUUAUGAAAAGUUCUAAAAUUAUAUAAUUUUUAUCAGUAACCAGGACCUCAAGUUGCUCCCACAAACCACAUAGGGCCUUGCAAAAUGAGGCUUUGGGAAGGGGACUCUGAUGUUUCUAAAUUUCGCACCCUUUGGUUUCUCCAGCUACAUUAGCUCUGAAAGGGGCACAAAAUGGCCUCAUUAACUGGGGAAGAACGAGUCUAAACGAGUUUCAGAAGAAGAAAAGGUCUCUUGGAUCCAUUGAGCCCUGCCACCACCCCCACCAACCUUCCUAAUGGAAGAAUGCUGCUGGAAAAGUGUCAUCCGAUAUUUCCCACAAAAAUGUGUGCUGUGGUCACAGCUCAGAGAUGCCAACACAAAUCUCCAACACAGCCACCUCCUGACUGAGAAUACAUUCUGGGCUGUUUUUAGUUUGAGCCUCAGUAAUCGGGGACAAAAGCUGAUUUCAAUUUUAAUUAAUUACAUGGGAGUGAACGGCCAUCUGAUCCAUAGGGGUCAUAGCACAUAAUGCCCUCAGUGGCACUAUGCCGGCAGAGCACUGGGAGGAACUUGUCUUUGUGGUAUGCUACAUUUUCUCUUCCUGUUGCACUUUUAGAGAAGAUUCUCUAAAAAUGAUUGUGUCCUCAGCCUCCUACACUUUAUAAUAAUUAACCAAAUUCAUUCAUUUUUACUUUUUUUAAAUAACAGUCUUCCUGCUGCCCAUCAAAACAUAUUUUUUGAGCAAUAAGCACUCUGUUCAGAGCUGGAAUAAACUGGUGAGUAAAAACAGACAUGGUCUGGGAGACUACACAGAUUGGAUAUUUUUGCUCCAAAUAAUGUAAAAAUACAACUUACACUGGGUUGAACAAUAGAUAUUUGCUGCCUCAUCAAGCAAGAAUCCAGGGGGUAGGGUGGGUCCAGCAUUGGUUAAUUCAACAGUUCCAUAGAAGUCUUCAUAUCAGCUUUGGUCUGAAGUUCUUGGUUCCCUCAUGAUUGCAAACUGUCUGCAAUAGCUCUAGGCGGUGCAUUCCCAACCACAUCUAAAUGAAAAUAAAUUAAAAAACCCAAAAGAAAGGCUCACUGCUCUUCGGAUCUCUAUGCUUCUUUUUGAGAGAUGAUUCCUUUCCUAGAAAAACUCUUCCUCCAAGGCUCACUCUCCAGCAGACAUAUCCACAAGUCUUAGAGGCAGAAUUGCAUCCCAAGCCUGUUCCUAAGCCAGUCAACAACAAAGCAAAUGAAAUGGUCCUAAAUGGUUUAGGACCGUCACAUUUUACCUCCUGGGGUUAAGAAAAGGCUCAGUCUGCAGCCAUAAAAAGGAAUGAGUUCAUGUCCUUUGCAGGGACAUGGAUGAAGCUGGAAGUCAUCAUUCUCAGCAAACUAACACAGGAACAGAAAACCAAACACCACAUGUUCUCGCUCAUAAGUGGGAGUUGAACAAUGAGAACACAUGGACACAAGGAGGGGAACAACACACACCAGGGCCUCUCGGUGGGUGGGGGGGCAAGGGGAGGGAGAGCAUUAGGACAAAUACCUAAUGCACGUGGGGCUUAAAACCUAGAUGACAGGUUGAUAGGUGCAGCAAACCACCAUGACAAAUGUAUACCUGUGUAACAAACCUGCACAUUCUGCACAUGUAUCUUGGAACGUAAAGUAAAAUUUAAAAUUAAAAUUAAAAAAUAAAAGGCUCAGUCUUUCCCAAAGCACAAAGAUGCCCCAUUCAGAAACACAAUUCAGGAUCCUUAGCAGGGAGAAAGGAUAGUUAUUGGAUAAGAAGCCAGCAAUGGCUGCCUCAAUAAGAGACUUUCAGAUGACCUGGGAGGGAGGGGAAGAAACACUACCCACCCCCAACCCCGCUCCCUAGUAAGCACAGAGUCAGGAAGAUCAAAGUUUUAGGGUCAGCAUUGCUACUUAGUAGUUGUUAGAUCUUGGAUUAGUUAUUUAGCCUUGUGGAACCUCAAUUUCUGCAUCUGUGAAGUGGGAAAUUACACCUAUCUCACUGGGUUGCAGUGAGAAUCAAAUAUAUUAGUAUAUGCAAAUUACCUGGCAGGCACCCAGCCCAUAGAUUUGUCCAGUAAAUACCAUUCCCUUGCCCAAAGCCCUUGGGCAGCUUACAGUCCAACUUGCUGGGUAACUGACAGGUCAGUCUGCUCACAUUCUGAUUAUUAAGCACUAUGGAAAAGGUAUGUAAAGAGGCUUCCUAGGGGAGGGAAUACUAUCACAGUUCCUAGGAGCCACUAAGGUCCUCCAGAUGCUUUUCUAGAUCCAAUGGGUGCUUUCCAUUUCUUUGUCUUACCUUACCUUUCUGCAGCAUCACUUAUCUUGGCAAUUCCUUUUCUUCUUUUUUUUUUGAGACGGAGUUUUG
rnacentral:lncRNA from 10 species